UUUAUUCAAGUAAUAGGAGCUCUGCAGUGACAGUCAGAUGGCAGAAGGUAUGUCUUCUGAAAACCCAUUUAAAAUUGGAGCAUUAAAAAAUCCUAAAUUUUAAUGUCUUAGUCAUUUUGAAAACAGUUCAAAAAGAACCCAAACAAGUAUGUGGCAGAAAAUUGUCAUUUGAAUGGAUUUUUAUGCUUAGUUUCAUUUUAUUUUUGUUAUUAAGAGCCGGCUUUUGAAAGCUCUGCUAAUAUCAACAGUUGGAAGGAAUGAUGAUACAGUGCUAUUGGUAAGAAAAAUUUCUUUGUUUUUUAUGAUCUAGAAAUUGAUUUGAUUAAAAAGCACAUGCCCUCAAGCAAACCACCGGAAGUUAUACUUCUUUAUCUUCAAUUGUUCUGAAGCACAAGACCUUUCCAACCACUGUAGAUAUGGACAAAGAAGAAAGAAAGACUAUCAACCAGGGUCAAGAAGAUGAAAUGGAGAUUUAUGGCUAUAAUUUGUGUCGCUGGAAGCUUGCCAUAGUUUCUCUUGGAGUGGUGUGUACUGGCGGCUUUCUUCUCCUGCUCCUCUAUUGGAUGCCCGAAUGGCGGGUAAAGGCAACCUGUAUUAGAGCUGCAGUUAAAGACUGUGAAGUGGUGCUGCUGAGGACUACUGAUGAAUUCAGAAUGUGGUUUUGUGCAAAAAUUCGCUUUCUUUCUCUGGAAACUCCCGCAUUUUCAAGCCCAAAAUCUAUGGCUAUUAAGGUUUCAAAUGGCCAUGCAGUUCACUUAACUGAAAAUCUGGCUGAAGAGAAUAGGCUUGAGAUGAAUAAAUAUUCACAGCCUCAGUCACAACAGAUUCGUUAUUUCACCCACCAUAGUGUAAAAUACUUCUGGAAUGAUACCCUUCACAAUUUUGUUUUCUUAAAGGGACUGGAUGAAGGUGUUUCUUGUACGUCAAUUUAUGAAAAGCAUAGUGCAGGACUGACAAAGGGGAUGCAUGCCUACAGAAAAUUGCUUUAUGGAGUAAAUGAAAUUGCUGUGAAAGUGCCUUCAGUUUUUAAGCUUCUAAUUAAGGAGGUUCUCAACCCAUUUUACAUUUUCCAGCUGUUCAGUGUUAUACUGUGGAGCACAGAUGAAUACUAUUAUUAUGCUAUAGCCAUCGUGAUUAUGUCUGUAGUAUCAAUUAUAAGCUCCCUAUAUGCCAUUAGAAAGCAAUAUAUUAUGUUGCAUGACAUGGUGGCAGCUCACAGUACUGUGAGAGUUUCAGUUUGCAGAGUAAAUGAAGAAAUCGAAGAGAUCUUUUCUACAGAUCUUGUGCCAGGAGAUGUCAUGGUCAUUCCGUUAAAUGGGACAGUCAUGCCUUGUGAUGCAGUACUUAUUAAUGGUACUUGUAUUGUAAAUGAAAGCAUGUUAACAGGAGAGAGUGUUCCAGUGACAAAGACUAAUUUGCCAAAUCCUUCAGUGGACGUAAAAGGAAUGGGAGAUGAAUUAUAUAGUCCAGAAACACAUAGACGACACACUUUGUUUUGUGGGACAACUGUUAUUCAAACUCGUUUCUACACUGGAGAACUUGUCAAAGCCAUAGUAGUUAGAACAGGAUUUAGUACUUCCAAAGGACAGCUUGUCCGCUCCAUAUUGUAUCCCAAACCAACUGAUUUUAAACUCUACAGAGAUGCCUACUUAUUUCUACUGUGUCUUGUGGCGGUGGCUGGCAUUGGGUUUAUCUACACUAUUAUCAAUAGCAUUUUAAAUGAGGUAGAAGUUGGGGAUAUAAUAAUCGAGUCUCUUGAUAUCAUUACAAUUACUGUGCCGCCUGCACUUCCUGCCGCAAUGACUGCUGGCAUUGUGUAUGCCCAAAGAAGACUGAAAAAAGUGGGCAUUUUCUGUAUCAGUCCCCAAAGGAUAAACAUCUGUGGACAACUGAAUCUUGUUUGCUUUGACAAGACUGGAACUCUUACUGAAGAUGGUUUAGAUCUUUGGGGGAUUCAACGAGUGGAAAAUACACGUUUUCUUUUGCCAGAAGAAAAGGUUUGCAAUGACAUGUUGGUAAAGUCUCAGUUUGUCGCUUGUAUGGCUACUUGUCAUUCACUUACAAAAAUCGAAGGAGUGCUUUCUGGCGAUCCACUUGAUUUGAAGAUGUUUGAAGCCAUCGGAUGGAUUCUGGAAGAAGCAACUGAAGAGGAAACAGCACUUCAUAAUCGAAUUAUGCCCACUGUGGUUCGUCCCCCAAAACAGCUGCUUCCUGAAUCUACACCUGCAGGAAACCAAGAAAUGGAGCUGUUUGAACUUCCAGCUAUUUAUGAGAUAGGAAUUGUUCGCCAGUUCCCAUUUUCUUCUGCUUUGCAACGUAUGAGUGUGGUUGCGAGGGUGCUAGGGGACAGGAAGAUGGACGCCUACGUGAAAGGGGCGCCAGAGGUCAUUGCCGGUCUUUGUAAACCUGAAACAGUUCCUGUUGAUUUUGAAAAAGUUUUAGAAAAUUACACCAAACAGGGCUUCCGUGUGAUUGCUCUUGCACACAGAAAAUUGGAGUCAAAACUGACAUGGCAUAAAGUGCAGAAUAUUAGCAGAGAUGCCAUUGAGAACAACAUGGAUUUUAUGGGAUUAAUUAUAAUGCAGAACAAAUUAAAGCGAGAAACCCCUGCAGUACUUGAAGAUUUGCAUAAAGCCAACAUUCGCACUGUCAUGGUCACAGGUGACAACAUGUUGACUGCUGUCUCUGUGGCCAGAGACUGUGGAAUGAUACUACCUCAGGAUAAAGUUAUUAUUGCUGAAGCAUUACCUCCAAAGGACGGGAAAGUUGCCAAGAUAAAUUGGCAUUAUGCAGACACCCUAACACAGAGUAGUGAUUCAUCAGCAAUUGACUCAGAGGCUAUUCCAAUUAAAUUGGUCCAUGAUAACUUAGAGGAUCUUCAGGUGACUCGUUAUCACUUUGCAAUGAAUGGAAAAUCAUUUUCGGUGAUAUUGGAACAUUUUCAAGACCUUGUUCCUAAGUUGAUGCUACAUGGCACUGUGUUUGCUCGUAUGGCACCCGAUCAGAAGACACAGUUAGUAGAAGCAUUGCAAAAUGUAGAUUACUUUGUUGGGAUGUGCGGUGAUGGGGCAAAUGAUUGUGGUGCUCUGAAGAGGGCACAUGGAGGCAUUUCCUUAUCAGAGCUCGAGGCUUCGGUGGCAUCUCCCUUUACCUCCAAAACUCCUAGUAUUUCCUGUGUGCCAAACCUUAUCAGGGAAGGCCGUGCUGCUUUAAUGACUUCCUUCUGUGUGUUUAAAUUUAUGGCUUUGUACAGCAUUAUACAGUACUUCAGUGUUACUCUGCUGUAUUCUAUCUUAAGUAACCUAGGAGACUUCCAGUUUCUCUUCAUUGAUCUGGCAAUCAUUUUGGUAGUGGUAUUUACAAUGAGUUUAAAUCCUGCCUGGAAGGAACUUGUGGCACAAAGACCACCUUCAGGUCUUAUAUCUGGGGCCCUUCUCUUCUCCGUCUUGUCUCAGAUUAUCAUCUGCAUUGGAUUUCAAUCUUUGGGGUUUUUUUGGGUCAAGCAGCAGACGUGGUAUAAGGAAUCGCAUCCACAUUCAGAGUAAGUUGCUUUUAAUACAACAGGAAGCCUAUAUGGGAAUUCUUCACAUUUGUACAAUGAAACCAAUCCUGAUAGACAUAAUAUAGAAAAUUAUGAAAAUACCACAGUGUUUUUUAUCUCCAGUUUUCAGUACCUCAUAGUGGCAAUUGCCUUUUCAAAAGGAAAACCCUUCAGGCAACCUUGCUACAAGAAUUAUUUUUUUGUUGUGUCUCUGAUUAUUUUGUAUGUUUUCAUAUUAUUCAUCAUGUUGCAUCCAGUUGCCUCUGUUGACCAGAUUCUUCAGAUAGUGUGUGUACCAUAUCAGUGGCGUGUAACUAUGCUCAUCAUUGUUCUUGUCAAUGCCUUUGUUUCAAUCAUGGUAGAGGAGUCAGUGGAUUGGUGGGGAAAAUGCUGCUUGUCCUGGGCCCUGAACUGUAGGAAGAAGAUGCCAAAGGCCAAGUACAUGUAUCUGGCCCAGGAGCUCUUGGUUGACCCGGAAUGGCCACCAAAACCUCAAACAACAACAGAAGCGAAAGCUUUAGUAAAGGAGAAUGGAUCAUGUCAGAUCAUCACCAUAACAUAGCAGUGAAUCGGUCUCAGUGGUAUUCUAGUAGCAGUGUUGAGGAGAAUGUAAAUGUAGGACUAAAUCUGAUCCUGUGCGUCAGAAUGGCACCCUUUCAAUUUAUGUCCCUUCCAAUAUAGUAGCUGAUUUGAGGUUUUUUUUAAAACAAAACAAACAAAAAGAGAUUGGCCUGUCAGUUAAAUUAAUAAUCAAUCUUCAAAGUCCUAUACCUUCAUUCAGUAACUCUAAAUAUUACAUAUAUUUCCAGAACUUGCUUGAUUGUUAUCCUCAGUGAUAUUCUUUAUAGGGUGCAGAAGAAAGUUGGUAUCUGGAAGGUGUUUAGAUAUUAGCUUCUAAGACUUUAGUUUAUGCCUUUAAAUUUAUUUUCACAGCCCCCUUAUUAGAAAAAGUCAUCAUUUAUUUACAGGCCCUAAAUUUGUGGUUGAUAAAUAAAAUGGGUGUUAAUUAGCCUCCAAUGAAAAUAGGUACAAAGCCUGUUUUUAUUUGAUUUCAGUAUUUCUCCCAAAGAAAACUUAGUAUGCAUACCACCAGUUCCCUUUAAUAGCAUAGAGUUAGGAGUGAGUUUUACGGUGUUGCAACUCAGGUAAUUUCCAUUUAUGGUUUUAGAUUUUCUGUACAAACUGCCUGGGUUUUAUUUUUUCUAAUCAGCAAGGUGCUUCACUGCCUUCUUGAGAUGACCCUCAGAGCUAUUAAGUGGAUCUUGUGCUACAUCUGGUGUCAGUAGUAUAAUUGUGCUUUAGUUGUUGAAGCCUUUUCAGAAGGAAAAAAGCUGAUUUCUUUUGGCAGUAGAUGUAGAUCUACCUUUCUAAUAUCUCUUCAUACCUAUUUUUUUCCUCUCAGGCUUUAUAUUAUUUUAAAUGUCUUUUUAUUUUCUUCUACGUCUUUAAUUACCUAAAGACAUAGGAUAAUAGUUUUUUGUUUUUUAGUUUUUUGAGUUAGAAUUUUGCCUCCUAAAAUUUUAAAGGUUUGAUGUAUGUCUCUCCUGUCGAUGAUGAGGCUUAAAAAAAUGAGUGGUUUUGAAUGACUGCUAUUUUUUCAAAGCUGUAUAAACCUGGCGAGUUUGUUUUAUGCCAUUAGGUGGCGCCAGAGGUCAGAGUUUACCUAUUUUGGAUUGGGUGUUUACGAAUGAGCAUAUUUGGUUGUGGAAAUUUCUGGGAGAAAAAAAAAAUGAAAUAGAAUUAAAAAGAAAAGUCAUUCAUUGAGCCAAAAGAAAUGUGGAAGAUAUUUUCCACCUUUCUGUUUUGCCUGGUUAAUGUUUAAAUUCUAAACAAAAUUAAGGUAAUCUAAAAAUGCCUUUAUAGGUAAGAUCCAGCGGUUUGGCAAAGACCAAAGUUCUGAUAAACAAGAAAACUGAUACUGCUGUAAAGUGGACACUAAACUCCUAAGAUUGUGUGAUCUUAUCCUGUGCUCUUCCUUGACCGGUAGCAUGCUUGUGCUUUAUACUUCUAGCUGAUCAUUAUUUUCCUGAUACAUAUUUACCAAUUUGGUCAGAUGUUACCCAGAACCAUAAAACUAAAUGGUUCUCACUUUUUAUGCUGCAGAGACCUGAUGAUUUUUGGUUAACCGUAGAAAAACGUAUGUUACACUCAGGAUCACUGUUAACUGCUGUGGCCACUGAUGAUUCUUACAAAAAUAUAAUCAAAGUUUUCCAUCAAAAAAGUAUGAUACUAUAUUAAUACACAUUAGAUGAUAAGAACAAUUGUUCCAUGAAUGAUUCUAUGAAGCUAUGCAUCUUAGACCUCUUGAGCUGUGAAUUAGCACUGUUUUUAUAGUUACUUACUCUCUUUAUCAUUUUAUAAUUUCCACAUUCAGUUCACUUCCAGUACAUAUGAGUGACAGUCUUCAGUGAUCUCCCACGAUUGUAAAUUUUAUUCUUUGAUUUAAAUACUGAAGCAUAUAAUUAAAGUAAUUGCUAAGUAGCAGCUUAAAAAUCCAACUAUCAGAUUGUAUUUAACAUCUUUAAGAGCAUGAUCAUAAAGAGCUAUAUUUUUGACAACCUCCCCCCCUUUUUUAACAUUUAGAUUUUAUAAGGGUUUUAUAUCACAUCUGUCCAUAUUGUUUUCAAAGGAAUGAGGUUUUUAGGUUGGUGGACAAGACAAAGCAUUUGUAGGAGGUAGAUUUGAACAUAGACAAGGUGGGUUGUUCAGGUUGAAAUGGAUGGCUUCCAGAAUGUGAUUUGAAGAAUGCCUGUGAGUCCAGGUGUGGGUCCUUCUUAGUGCCAUAGAUAGACGAGUCCUCUCUCUGUAGGUCACCAUUACAUAGUAAUUUUAAUUCUGAAUUUCACAUUAAAUUAUUUGAGUGUAUACAGAUCUAAAUUUUAAAAUCUGUACAUAUAUUAUUUUGACGUAUUAAGAUGAAUAAAUAUUGCUGAUUUAAAUUUUAUUUAUGCACAUACCUAAAGGACAGAAAUGUCCAGGAAAGUAAUUGUUAAAUAAUAUGUAACUUUUUAACUUUUGAAAUAAAUAACAAGAUUUUUAAUGUGUGUCUCCCUCAGGGUUGUUUAAAGUUUUUUUUCCUCCCUCAGAUAUAAAUAGUGGUAACUAUAUGUUUUGUAUCUUUUAGCACCAACUGCUGUAAAGCAAUGCUGCAAGUAAUGCUUGAAUAAAAGUGGCUAAGCCAACAACAAAAGAAAAACUUUUUAUAUUAGUUUUAUAAUCCCUACAUUCGAAAGCUUUCCAAAUUGUACUUGCAUUUAAAUAAAACUGUUGUAGUUUUUACUAUUCAUUUGGUUUCCCAUGUUUAUGAAACUACUGCACAGUUUCAAAGGCAUGGAAAAUUAUAUCAGUGUUUAUGUACUCUGUUCCCCCAAACGGCUAUGGAUCCAAUGUCCAGAGAAGAGCAAAAUUCCAGCUUUAGAAAACAUUCUAAGAUUUCAUGCAUGCAGUUUUGACAUAUCUGAAAAUAGGCUUUUUGUAUAUUUAUGGUGGGAGGUGGUUGGGAACUUUUAACAAAAUGUUAAUUUUUGUACAGUCUGUAGGCAUUUACACAUAUUUUUAAUGUAUUAAGAUUUGGUAAUUAUGUGCACAUUAAAUUAAUAAAAUAAUUACUCCCUGUUAUGAUUUGUGAAUUCCCUGAGACUUUGGAUUUUUUUAAGUAACUUUAUAUCAGAAAUGAUACUGCAUCUUUAUAUUUUUUAAAUAAUAUUGCUGCUCAAGAAUGGUACCCUGAUGUCAAAAAGGCAUACAUUCAGAAUUGUACAUUCAGCACUGUAAAUAACCUUAUGAAAAAUUUUUGAUUGAAGCUGUUCAAAAUAAAGAUUUGAAU